GACGAACGCUGGCGGCGUGCCUAAUACAUGCAAGUCGAACGCACGAAGUUGAAGAGCUUGCUCUUUAACCAAGUGAGUGGCGGACGGGUGAGUAACACGUGGGUAACCUGCCCAUUAGAGGGGGAUAACAUUCGGAAACGGAUGCUAAUACCGCAUAGUUUCAGGAAUCGCAUGAUUCUUGAAGGAAAGGUGGCUUCGGCUACCACUAAUGGAUGGACCCGCGGCGUAUUAGCUAGUUGGUGAGGUAAUGGCUCACCAAGGCAAUGAUACGUAGCCGACCUGAGAGGGUGAUCGGCCACACUGGGACUGAGACACGGCCCAGACUCCUACGGGAGGCAGCAGUAGGGAAUCUUCCGCAAUGGACGAAAGUCUGACGGAGCAACGCCGCGUGAGUGAAGAAGGUUUUCGGAUCGUAAAACUCUGUUGUUAAAGAAGAACAAGGAUGAGAGUAACUGCUCAUCCCCUGACGGUAUUUAACCAGAAAGCCACGGCUAACUACGUGCCAGCAGCCGCGGUAAUACGUAGGUGGCAAGCGUUGUCCGGAUUUAUUGGGCGUAAAGCGAGCGCAGGCGGUUCUUUAAGUCUGAUGUGAAAGCCCCCGGCUCAACCGGGGAGGGUCAUUGGAAACUGGAGAACUUGAGUGCAGAAGAGGAGAGUGGAAUUCCACGUGUAGCGGUGAAAUGCGUUGAUAUGUGGAGGAACACCAGUGGCGAAGGCGACUCUCUGGUCUGUAACUGACGCUGAGGCUCGAAAGCGUGGGGAGCAAACAGG
rnacentral:rRNA from 1 species